GUUCUGAGGGUCGGUCAAAGGCCUUGGGAAUGUAUCUACCUACGGGUAGACUUAUAGACCAGGGUGUCAUGCGGCCUCUCGGGACCGAGGAACGCGCUUCGGCUCGGAUGUUGGCGUAAUGGUUGUCAGCGA
rnacentral:rRNA from 1 species